rnacentral:rRNA from 1 species
GCAGGCUGCAACUCGCCUGCAUGAAGUCGGAAUUGCUAGUAAUCGCGGAUCAGCAUGCCGCGGUGAAUACGUUCUCGGGCCUUGUACACACCGCCCGUCACGCCAUGGGAGUCGGUAACACCCGAAGUCUGUAGCCUGACGCAAGAGGGCGCAGCCGAAGGUGGGAUUGAUGACUGGGGUGAAGUCGUAACAAGGUAGC